rnacentral:misc_RNA from 1 species
AACGCACAUUGCGCCUGCCAGUAUUCUGGCGGGCAUGCCUGUUCGAGCGUCAUUUCAACCCUCAAGCCCCUCCGGGCUUGGUGUUGGGGCUCGGCCCCCCGCUCACCGAGCGCGGCCGGCUCUGAAAACUAGUGGCGGUCUCGCUGCAGCCUCCCCUGCGUAGUAGCACAUCUCGCACUGGAGCGCGGCGCGGCCACGCCGUCAAAACCGUUGCCCCCCGGGCAAGCUUCAUAAGGUUGACCUCGGAUCAGGUAGGGAUACCCGCUGAACUUAA